rnacentral:snRNA from 1 species
GGAUGUGAGGGCGAUCUGGCUGCGACAUCUGUCACCCCAUUAUCACAAGAGUUGAUUCAGCUGGUCUGGCUGGCCAGGUGGGUGUCCCCUUCUUCCCUCACAGCUCCAUGUGCAUCCUCCCUGCGUGCUCAGUUGAAGAAGAUGGCCUUCCCCAAACAGAGACAGACCAGUCUUCCGUCAAGGUAUGCGAGUAGCUGUGUUCCCCUGCUAGAACCACCAAACCAAGCUCUCAAGGUCGCAAAAUAUGAAAAGUAAAACUAGCACACUAUCUUUAUGUGGGUCAAAAAAAUGAAUUUUU